GAUGAACGCUGGCGGCGUGCCUAAUACAUGCAAGUCGAGCGAACAGACGAGGAGCUUGCUCCUCUGACGUUAGCGGCGGACGGGUGAGUAACACGUGGAUAACCUACCUAUAAGACUGGGAUAACUUCGGGAAACCGGAGCUAAUCCCGGAUAACAUGUUGAACCGCAUGGUUCAACAGUGAAAGACGGUCUUGCUGGCACUUAUAGAUGGAUCCGCGCCGCAUUAGCUAGUUGGUAAGGUAACGGCUUACCAAGGCAACGAGGCGUAGCCGACCGGAGAGGGUGAUCGGCCACACUGGAACUGAGACACGGUCAAGACUCCUACGGGAGGCAGCAGUAGGGAAUCUUCCGCAAUGGGCGAAAGCAUGACGGAGCAACGCCGCGUGAGUGAAGAAGGUCUUCGGAUCGUAAAACUCUGUUAUGAGGGAAGAACAAAUGUGUCAGUAACUAUGCACGUCUUGACGGUACCUAAUCAGAAAGCCACGGCUAACUACGUG
rnacentral:rRNA from 1 species